ACACAUGUGUGCGGCAAUGGGCUGCGUGCACACACUCACUGUGCAGGUUACACAGUUCCUGUUAUAACGCUACCUACACCCCCACCUCCGGGCAGUACCUAGAAAUUCAUUGUAAGGGCUGUCUGAUAAUGUGGAGAAAUAAGUGAAUAAAAAAAGGAAUGAUGUGGCAUUUGCAUAAUGUGUUCUUUAUUUGGAUGCAAAUAUAAAAGGAAAAUGGCCAUGAACUCGUCGUUCUUUCUAUUAGCCAUGUUUGUAAGAUGCAAAGACAUGCAUGUCCGCAUUCCACCGCAAAAGAAAAAAAACGCCAUGUCCGCAUUAAUCCGAUGAGAUUAGAAAAUAAGGAAAUUGACAAGUGAUGUUUGAUUACAUCAUAAAAGGGAAAUGGAUCUCAUGACCCCAUAAUUUUUACCAAGAGCUUGGCUCAA